rnacentral:rRNA from 1 species
GCCCGACCGUGGGGGAUAACCCGGCGAAAGCCGAGCUAAUCCCGCAUACGCUCUCACACGAGAGGAAAGCCUUACGGCGCGGACGGAGGAGCCUGCGGCCCAUCAGGUAGUUGGCGGGGUAACGGCCCACCAAGCCGCUGACGGGUAGCUGGUCUGUGAGGACAGACAGCCAGACUGGGACUGAGACACGGCCCAGACUCCUACGGGAGGCAGCAGCAAGGAAUUUUCGUCAAUGGGGGCAACCCUGAACGAGCAACGCCGCGUGGAGGAUGACGGCCUCCGGGUUGUAAACUCCUUUUGCGGGGGAUGAUAGUGACCGUACCCCGCGAAGAAGGCUCGGCUAACUCUGUGCCAGCAGCCGCGGUAAGACAGAGGAGCCAAGCGUUGUCCGGAUUGACUGGGCGUAAAGCGCACGCAGGCGGUCGUGCACGUGGGGUGUGAAAGCGGCAGGCUUAACUUGCCGAGGUCACCUCAUACGGCGCGACUCGAGCCCUGCAGAGGUCCACGGAAUUGCCGGUGUAGUGGUGAAAUGCGUAGAGAUCGGCAGGAACACCCAGGGGGAAACCAGUGGACUGGGCAGGAGCUGACGCUCAGGUGCG